GCGCCGGUGGUGUAAAGGCGUAGAGCAUUUACGCACGGUGUGGGUUCGAGUCCCGCCUGGCGCU
rnacentral:tRNA from 1 species